rnacentral:rRNA from 1 species
AGCUCCAAUAGCGUAUAUUAAAGUUGUUGCAGUUAAAAAGCUCGUAGUUGAACUUUGGGCUUGGUUGGCCGGUCCGCCUUUUUGGCGAGUACUGGACCCAACCGAGCCUUUCCUUCUGGCUAACCAUUCGCCCUUGUGGUGUUUGGCGAACCAGGACUUUUACUUUGAAAAAAUUAGAGUGUUCAAAGCAGGCCUUUGCUCGAAUAUAUUAGCAUGGAAUAAUAGAAUAGGACGUUAUGGUUCUAUUUUGUUGGUUUCUAGGACCAUCGUAAUGAUUAAUAGGGACGGUCGGGGGCAUCAGUAUUCAGUUGUCAGAGGUGAAAUUCUUAGAUUUACUGAAGACUAACUACUGCGAAAGCAUUUGCCAAGGACGUUUUCA